rnacentral:rRNA from 1 species
UACGAGGGGGGCAAGUGUUGUUCGGAAUUACUGGGCGUAAAGCGUGCGCAGGCGGUGAUGUAAGACAGGUGUGAAAUCCCCGGGCUUAACCUGGGAACUGCAUUUGUGACUGCAUCGCUGGAGUGCGGCAGAGGGGGAUGGAAUUCCGCGUGUAGCAGUGAAAUGCGUAGAUAUGCGGAGGAACACCGAUGGCGAAGGCAAUCCCCUGGGCCUGCACUGACGCUCAUGCACGAAAGCGUGGGGAGCGAACAGG